UACGUAGGGUGCGAGCGUUGUCCGGAAUUACUGGGCGUAAAGAGCUCGUAGGUGGUUUGUCGCGUUGUUCGUGAAAGCCGGGGGCUUAACCCUCGGCGUGCGGGCGAUACGGGCAGACUUGAGUACUGCAGGGGAGACUGGAAUUCCUGGUGUAGCGGUGGAAUGCGCAGAUAUCAGGAGGAACACCGGUGGCGAAGGCGGGUCUCUGGGCAGUAACUGACGCUGAGGAGCGAAAGCGUGGGGAGCGAACAGG
rnacentral:rRNA from 1 species